UGAGGAAUAUUGGUCAAUGGGCGUAAGCCUGACGCAGCGACGCCGCGUGAGGGAUGAAGGUUUUCGGAUCGUAAACCUCUGUCAGAAGGGAAGAAAGUGCGUGGUGCUAAUCAGCCGCGUAUUGACGGUACCUUCAAAGGAAGCACCGGCUAACUCCGUG
rnacentral:rRNA from 1 species